rnacentral:lncRNA from 1 species
CUGUCUCCACCACUCUGUGCCAGCCUCUUCUUUCCCUCCCAUUCUUGGUCUUGUUCUUAGGAUGUUCUCUCUCUCUGCCCUGCACGCCCCCUUCCUUUUUUCCUUUUCUUCCUCUCUCCAGUCUUGGAAGCAGCCUAACUCCUUCCUUUCAAGUAUGAUCUUGUACCACUGAACUGAGGCCCACUGGCUGGCUCUGGUUGAUGGAGAAAAAGUACUUUCUUCCUUCCUCAAAGAGGUCAGGUACUUGAGAUAACGUAUUUUCUGUCUUUGAAUCUCCAGGCUCAGGCCACAGGGUCACCACAUACAUCGCCCACCCAUGGAGGCGGCCGGCCAAUGCCCAUGCCAGUGCGCUCCACGUCUGCCGGCUCCACCCCCACCCACUGUCCGCAGGACUCGCUGAGCGGAGUCGGGGGAGACGUGCAGGAGGCCUUCGCACAAGGUACGAGGAGAAACCUCCGCAAUGACCUGCUGGUGGCAGCUGACUCCAUCACCAACACCAUGUCAUCCCUGGUGAAGGAGCUCCAUUCAGGUGAAACCCAGAGCUCCCAGCCAGCUUCCUGGCCUCCCCUGCCUUGCCCGCGCCCUUCUCACUUC